UUCCGAUUCCGACUAGAAGGC
ensembl:piRNA 21ur-4537 ncRNA